AAAAAAAAAAACAACACCUCCCUCCCUCCUGGGCUGGAUGGGAGUAAAAAAGUGAGGUCAGGAAUGUAAAGAGCCAAUCGGGCCUGCAACAUGGUGGGUGCAUCAUGCCUCUCAGUCCCUCCACCCUGGACUAACUGUCUGAUCUGUAAGACAAGACAGUAGCUCAUGCAGAGUCCAGACUCCCACAGCCUGUGAACUCAUGCGUUCAGUCAACAACAUUAUUGAGCACCUACUACGUGUUGGGGUCUGGGGCUAUUGCCCUGAACAGGAGCCAGUCCCUGCCCUCAUGGAAUUCUGUCAUUGGUGGAGGGUAGGGGAAGAUGAGUCACCAGGCAGUGAUGUUGGAGAAGCACAGGGCCUGUGACCCAGCCUGGUGGGUUGGGGAAGACUUCCUGAAGGAGGUGAUAUUCAUGCCAGGACCCAGAGGGAGUGUGCAUAGUCUGAAGAAGGAGCAUGGUGGGAAGAGGGCUCCAGGCAAAGGGAAGAACAGGCACAGAGCCUAAGACCCAGGGCAAGCAGGGCUACGGCUGCAGCAGAGCAGGUGGCGGCGGGGGUUGGGGGAGAGGAGGACGGGCCUCAGGCCUCAGGGAUAGGGCUGUGGGUAUUUUCCUGACAGCAAAAAUCCAGAGAAGCUUCUAGACAGGGGUGGCAUGGUCAGAGUGCGAUAAGUCCCAAUGGAGGGCACUCAGGGCCUCCAUGUGACCUGCUACCUCUAUGCCCUCAUCUCUCCCAGCUCCUCUGUGGGGGGCAGCCAGGCUGUAGCACUUGUGGCUCCUCAGGCUUCCCACCUUCCUUCAUUAUAAAGACUUCUCCCCUGCCUGAACUGCCCUCCUGUACUGAACCUCACCUAUGGGCAGGGGACUGUGGUGGCUUGAGUUCUCAUCUGUCCAGCACUUGCCCAGCCCUUCAGGGACACACCUUUGUUCCCUAAAGGUGAAGUGAGUCAUAGAUGCCCCACCUUCACCUCCUACCUGGCCAUGGGUGGCCUUGUGACCCAGGCUGGGUCAGUCAUUGCACUUCGGACUCAAGACACUGAUGGUGGCAGUGGGGGGCAGUGCCCUGAGUUGGGC
rnacentral:lncRNA from 1 species